GAACUGCUGAGGAGUCCCAUACUGAAACGAAACGGCCGUCCAGUGC
rfam:Schistosoma haematobium scaffold1144_9, whole genome shotgun sequence.